rnacentral:rRNA from 2 species
AGUCGUAACAAGGUCUCCGUUGGUGAACCAGCGGAGGGAUCAUUACCGAGUUUACAACUCCCAAACCCAAUGUGAACCAUACCAAACUGUUGCCUCGGCGGGGUCACGCCCCGGGUGCGUCGCAGCCCCGGAACCAGGCGCCCGCCGGAGGGACCAACCAAACUCUUUCUGUAGUCCCCUCGCGGACGUUAUUUCUUACAGCUCUGAGCAAAAAUUCAAAAUGAAUCAAAACUUUCAACAACGGAUCUCUUGGUUCUGGCAUCGAUGAAGAACGCAGCGAAAUGCGAUAAGUAAUGUGAAUUGCAGAAUUCAGUGAAUCAUCGAAUCUUUGAACGCACAUUGCGCCCGCCAGUAUUCUGGCGGGCAUGCCUGUCCGAGCGUCAUUUCAACCCUCGAACCCCUCCGGGGGGUCGGCGUUGGGGAUCGGGAACCCCUAAGACGGGAUCCCGGCCCCGAAAUACAGUGGCGGUCUCGCCGCAGCCUCUCCUGCGCAGUAGUUUGCACAACUCGCACCGGGAGCGCGGCGCGUCCACGUCCGUAAAACACCCAACUUCUGAAAUGUUGACCUCGGAUCAGGUAGGAAUACCCGCUGAACUUAAGCAUAUCAAUAA